rnacentral:rRNA from 1 species
AUUGAACGCUUGCGGCAGGCCUAACACAUGCAAGUCGAACGAGUGGCGGACGGGUGAGUAAUGUCUGGGAAACUGCCCGAUGGAGGGGGAUAACUACUGGAAACGGUAGCUAAUACCGCAUACCAUCGGAUGUGCCCAGAUGGGAUUAGCUAGUAGGUGGGGUAAAGGCUCACCUAGGCGACGAUCCCUAGCUGGUCUGAGAGGAUGACCAGCCACAAUGGAACUGAGACACGGUCCAGACUCCUACGGGAGGCAGCAGUGGGGAAUAUUGCACAAUGGGCGCAAGCCUGAUGCAGCCAUGCCGCGUGUAUGAAGAAGGCCUUCGGGUUGUAAAGUACUUUCAGCGGGGAGGCGUUACCCGCAGAAGAAGCACCGGCUAACUCCGUGCCAGCAGCCGCGGUAAUUC